UAUAGGGCGCCUGAGCGUGCGGUUUAAUCUCCGGCCACGUGACUGAACCGCGUGGCAGAAGCUCUGUGUCACUGCCUGUAUGUAAGCUUGUGCGAGCCAGUUACGAAAUGGAAUCGCAAGAGGAAGUAUUAUAUGGAACUGAGAGAAAACUCUGUGAAUUUCCUUAAUUGCUCCAGAAUGUCGGUGACGUCGUACGAUGAGUUACAUCCUCUGUUGAAGACUAAUCUAACAAAGGACAGCACGCAAAUGAGGGAUUUUCAGAGGGCGAGAGCAGCCAUGCAGCCAACAACACGUUGCAGCUGAAGAUAAAUGCCACUGACAGAGGCAUAAAACUGUUGGAUCACCAGCUUGCAUCUACUGUGAAUAUGAGCAACCUUGGCUA